rnacentral:rRNA from 1 species
UACGUAGGGGGCAAGCGUUGUCCGGAUUUAUUGGGCGUAAAGAGCGUGUAGGCGGCCAUACAGGUCCGUUGUGAAAACUGGAGGCUCAACUUCCAGACGUCGACGGAAACCGUGUGGCUAGAGUCCGGAAGAGGAGAGUGGAAUUCCUGGUGUAGCGGUGAAAUGCGCAGAUAUCAGGAAGAACACCAAUGGCGAAGGCAGCUCUCUGGGGACGGUACUGACGCUGAGACGCGAAAAGCGUGGGGAGCGAACAGG